ACGCGACCUACUCCAUCCCCCCUGAUUCCAACUGCUGCUGCGCACUCAUGCAUGCAUCAAUCAAUCAAUCACACCCCCCACGCCCGCCUGCCACCGAGCCCACAACAUAUAUUGUACACAGUACUCCUCCGGCCCAUGUAUCUACUUACUUGCUACUGUACCUGCCUUAUUCUUUCCCAUGCAUGCCUACUAGGCUCCAAUGGCCAUUGGGUAUUGCCAUGGGCCAUGGCUUUUCAAAUCUCUUCUUGUUUCUUUCUACUCCCUCCGUC
rnacentral:lncRNA from 1 species